rnacentral:rRNA from 1 species
AGUCUAGUAUAGUAGUUGUUUUUUUCUAUUAGUUGCGAUGCAAAUAGUGAAGUAGUACUGUGAUGGAAUGGUGAAAAGAACCCCCAUCGGGGAGUGAAAUAGAACAUGAAACCUUAAGCUCACAAGCAGUGGGUGUAGGCCUGGGCUCUGACCCCGUGCCUGUUGAAGAAUGAGUCGGCGACUCAUAGAAACACUUUAUAUAAGGAAACACAAACAUUAAAUAAGGAAAAGGUGAAUUUUAGGGAAGUGUUUUCAUAGACUUC